GGAAGGUGGGGAUGACGUCAAGUCCUCAUGGCCCUUACGGGAUGGGCUACACACGUGCUACAAUGGCGGUGACAGUGGGACGCGAAGCCGCGAGGUUGAGCAAAUCCCCAAAAGCCGUCUCAGUUCGGAUUGCACUCUGCAACUCGGGUGCAUGAAGGCGGAAUCGCUAGUAAUCGUGGAUCAGCACGCCACGGUGAAUACGUUCCCGGGCCUUGUACACACCGCCCGUCACACCAUGGGAGUUGGUCUUACCCGACGGCGCUGCGCCAACCGCAAGGAGGCAGGCGACCACGGUAGGGUCAGCGACUGGGGUGAAGUCGUAACAAGGUAGCCGUAGGGGAACCUGCGGUUGGAUCACCUCCU
rnacentral:rRNA from 1 species